AGAGUUUGAUCAUGGCUCAGGAUGAACGCUAGCGGCAGGCCUAAUACAUGCAAGCUGAACGGCAAGUUGAGUAGCAAUACUUGACCUAGAGUGGCGCAAGGGUGCGUAACACGUAUGCAAUCUGCCCUCAACAGGAGGAUAGCUCCCCGAAAGGGGAAUUAACACUCCAUAAGACCGCACGAAGGCAUCUGAGAGCGGUUAAAUCUACGGAGGUUGAGGAUGAGCAUGCGGAUGAUUAGCUAGUUGGUGCGGGUAACGGCCCACCAAGGCGAUGAUCAAUAGGGGAACUGAGAGGUUUAUCCCCCACACUGGCACUGAGAUACGGGCCAGACUCCUACGGGAGGCAGCAGUAGGGAAUAUUGGACAAUGGGCGCAAGCCUGAUCCAGCCAUGCCGCGUGCAGGAAGAAGGCCUUCUGGGUCGUAAACUGCUUUUCUCUGGGGAUAAAAAGCCCGUGCGAGGGAAAUUGAAGGUACCUGGUGAAUAAGCCACGGCUAACUACGUGCCAGCAGCCGCGGUAAUACGUAGGUGGCAAGCGUUGUCCGGAUUUAUUGGGUUUAAAGGGUGCGUAGGCGGUUGAUUAAGUCAGUUGUGAAAUACGGCAGCUUAACUGUCGAGGUGCAAUUGAUACUGGUUGACUUGAGUACAGACGAGGUAGGCGGAAUUGACGGUAGCGGUGAAAUGCAUAGAUAUCGUCAAGAACACCGAUAGCGAAGGCAGCUUACUAGACUGUAACUGACGCUGAGGCACGAAAGUGUGGGGAUCAAACAGGAUUAGAUACCCUAGUAGUCC
rnacentral:rRNA from 1 species